GCCGGUGUAGCUCAGAGGUAGAGCAACUGUCUCGUAAACAGUGGGUCAUUGGUUCAAUUCCAAUUAUCGGCA
rnacentral:tRNA from 1 species